UAGGGAAUCUUCCGCAAUGGACGCAAGUCUGACGGAGCAACGCCGCGUGAGUGAAGAAGGAUUUCGGUUCGUAAAACUCUGUUGUUAGAGAAGAACAGCGCAUAGAGUAACUGUUAUGCGUGUGACGGUAUCUAACCAGAAAGCCACGGCUAACUACGUGCCAGCAGCCGCGGUAAUACGUAGGUGGCAAGCGUUGUCCGGAUUUAUUGGGCGUAAAGCGAGCGCAGGCGGUCAAUUAAGUCUGAUGUGAAAGCCCCCGGCUCAACCGGGGAUGGUCAUUGCAAACUGGUUGACUUGAGUGCAGAAGAUGAGAGUGGAAUUCCAUGUGUAGCGGUGACAUGCGUAGAUAUAUGGCGGACCCCCAGUGGCGAAGGCGACUCUCUGGUCUGUAACUGACGCUGAGGCUCGAAAGCGUGGGUAGCAAACAGG
rnacentral:rRNA from 1 species